CCCUUAGAUGUUCUGGGCCGCACGCGCGCUACACUGGUCGAUGCAACGAGUUUCUUUCCUUGGCCGACAGGCCUGGGCAAUCUUUGAACAUCGAUCGUGAUCGGGAUAGAUUCUUGUAAUUUUUGAUCUUAAACGAGGAAUUCCUAGUAAACGCAAGUCAUCAGCUUGCAUUGAUUACGUCCCUGCCCUUUGUACACACCGCCCGUCGCUCCUACCGAUUGAAUGGUCCGGUGAAGCGUUCGGACCGUGGCCUUUGGACGGUUCGCCGUCUGUUGGCUGCGGGAAGUUCGUUAAACCUUAUCAUUUAGAGGAAGGAGAAGUCGUAACA
rnacentral:rRNA from 1 species